GAUGAACGCUGGCGGCGUGCCUAACACAUGCAAGUCGAACGGAAAGGCCCUACGUUUGUGGGGUUCUCGAUUGGCGAACGGGUGAGUAACACGUGUGUAACCUGCCCUUGUCUUUCGGAUAACAUCAGGAAACUGGGGCUAAUAUCGGAUAGGAUCUUCUGCUCCAUGGUGGGCGUUGGAAAGUUUCGGCGGUUGGGGAUGGAUUGGCGGCUUAGUAGCUAGUUGGUGGGGUAGGGGCCUACCCAGGUUUUGAAUGGUAGGCGGCCUGAGAGGGUGAUCGGCGACCUUGGAGCUGAGACAGGGUCCAGACGCCUAAGGGAGGCAGCAGUGGGGAAUGGGCGGCAAUGGGCGGAAGCCUUGCACAGCGAGCGCGCGUGUGAGACGACGGCCUUCGGGUCGUAAAGCCCGCUUUUUGGGUAAGAACAGCUUUCGCCUGAGACGAAGCGUGAGUGACGGUACUGAAUAAAGAAGCACCGGCUAACUACGUG
rnacentral:rRNA from 1 species